UGGGGAAUUUUGCACAAUGGGGGAAACCCUGAUGCAGCGACGCCGCGUGAUUUAGAAGGCCUUCGGGUUGUAAAAAUCUUUUCUAUGGAAGAAAAUGACAGUACCAUAGGAAUAAGGACCGGCUAAUUACGUGCCAGCAGCCGCGGUAAUACGUAAGGUCCGAGCGUUGUCCGGAAUCAUUGGGCGUAAAGGGUACGUAGGCGGGUAAGCAAGUUAGAAGUGAAAUCCUAUAGCUCAACUAUAGUAAGCUUUUAAAACUGCUCAUCUUGAGGUAUGGAAGGGAAAGUGGAAUUCCUAGUGUAGCGGUGAAAUGCGCAGAUAUUAGGAGGAAUACCGGUGGCGAAGGCGUCUUUCUGGCCAUAACCUGACGCUGAGGUACGAAAGCGUGGGUAGCAAACAGG
rnacentral:rRNA from 1 species